GACGAACGCUGGCGGCGCGCCUAACACAUGCAAGUCGAACGAGCGAGAGGAGGUUUCCUUUCUCAAGCGAGUGGCGAACGGGUGAGUAACGCGUGAGGAACCUGCCUCAAAGAGGGGGACAACAGUUGGAAACGACUGCUAACACCGCAUAAGCCCACGACCCGGCAUCGGGUAGAGGGAAAAGGAGCAAUCCGCUUUGAGAUGGCCUCGCGUCCGAUUAGCUAGUUGGUGAGGUAAUGGCCCACCAAGGCGACGAUCGGUAGCCGGACUGAGAGGUUGAACGGCCACAUUGGGACUGAGACACGGCCCAGACUCCUACGGGAGGCAGCAGUGGGGAAUAUUGCACAAUGGGGGAAACCCUGAUGCAGCGACGCCGCGUGGAGGAAGAAGGUCUUCGGAUUGUAAACUCCUGUUGUUGAGGAAGAUAAUGACGGUACUCAACAAGGAAGUGACGGCUAACUACGUG
rnacentral:rRNA from 1 species